CGGCUUCAAGUGAUUCUCUUGCCUCAGCCUCCCGAGUAGCUGGGAUUACAGGUGCACACCAUCAAGGCUGGCUAAUAUUUGUAUUUUUAGUAGAGGUGAGGUUUCACCAUGUUGACCAGGCUGGUCUCGAACUCCUCACCUCAAGUGACCUACCUGUCUAGGCCUCCCCAAAUGCUGGGAUUACAGGACUCAGCCACCACGUCCAGCUACAUAACUUUAUUAUAGAAACCCCUGAACACUUUACAUCAAAAAGCAUCACUCACUCUAACCCUGUCAGAGCCCCCCACCCUGCUCUGCUUCUCUUCAUAACACUUAAUACCAUUCAGCACUAUGCAUUUUCUGGUUUUUUCCUGUCCUUCCUCACUAACACGUAAGCUUGAUAGAAGGAGAAGCUGUAUGUGUUUUGCUCAGUGUUGAUUCUCCACCACCCAGAACACCUCCUAGCAUAAGGUCAGCACUCAGUAAGUUGCUGAAGGAAAGAAGGGAUGGGUUUGAGCAGAGUGGAGAUGGAGAUCAGCUGAUGAACUUUUGAGAUCUAGUAGGUGGCAGAAUAGUCAGAUUGUGAUGAAUUGUUGGGUAUUGAGCAGGAAAAGGGAGAUGAAGGAAAUAAGAGGGCUCUAGGAGGCUCUCCAAGUUUCUGCCCUACACACUGAGUUGAUGGUAUACUGUUCCCUGAAAUAGAGAAGAUGGGAAAAGGAUUUGAUUAAGGACAGGGACAGAGAAGGAUAAUUUCAACUUUGAGGAAGUUGAGAUUCAGGUUAUUAGGACAUAUUCAACUGAAGAUAUCCUGGAGGUAGCUGGCUCUAGAACUAUUAACUGAGUUUGUGCUGAACACUCAUCUCUGUUAGGUACAAAACUGCAUGGAAAGGAGAUGAAGAGAGACUGUAUAGUAUUGAGUCAUUUUCCAGGGAAAAGCUAAAUCCUUUUCACCCCUUCAGGUGAACUUACCAAACCAGCUGCUACUCAGAAGCUCACAGCCUUUCAGAAAAAGCUCUGCAGGAAGCAUAAAAUGAAGACAAUGCAAAGGCCUCUCCCAUAAGCAAGCCUGGGUACAACGAGCCUAAGCCAGUACCAACACCCCAAUCCUCAGCUCGUCAUUAUUUCACCAUGGAGUUCUGGAUCCUAAUCUGCCCAGCUGCCAUGGAUUCCACAGGAGAUUCUUAUCAGGAUGAGAAAAGCAGUGAGCUUUCAGCCUGUCACUCUAUUAUAUACAACCAGAAGCCUGCUCAGGAACGAAGAUUACUCUGGGUAGCAGAAUGAAACUCCAUUAAAAACAGCCUCAUUGCCAUGUGAUGCCAUGUCCUGUGCCACCUCUGGACUCUGCAGGGAGUCCCCACCAGCAAGAAGGCUCUCACCAGACAUAGCUCCUCGACCUUGGAUUUCUCAGCCUCCAGAACGGCUCUACAGAUUGAUUUUAAAGCCACCUACACUGCAGUUUCUUCAAUUUAGCUCUACUUAUCUGAUUAUGCAUCACAAAAGGAAGCAGAAAUUCAGCUUAAUUGUGAAGCCAUUGCAGCAGAACCAAGCAAAUGAUAGAAAACCUCAUGAUCACAGACAGAAUCACACUCACUGAUGCUGAAUGAAAUGACAGACAUCCGUCCCUCUGCAGAAGCCUGAAUACUGAUCACAGAAUUUUACGUUCUGACAUUGUGUGUCUCUUGUCAGAUAGUGUUGUCCUUUACUUUCCCCGCUUCAGUUGUGAAAGUCAGGUGCAGUCUCAUACUAUUUUUUUUUAAAAUUCAUUAUGACAAGUAAAUGGUCUCUGGGAAAGCGAACAUCCUCAUCCACUGUUUACUGAAACUGUAACACUGUCAUGAGUGAAGAAUGAAACAUGUUUAAUGUAAAGAGUUUGCAGAAUGAUGAUCAGAGGAAAAGAACAUUAAACAGAAGAAACAUAAAUAUAAGAAUGGGGAGAGAGAUGUAAUCAAAAGACAGCUUGUAAGGGAGGUUACAUGCUGCCAUUUGCUUUUCAGCUGUGUUUUCCAUAGUGGGACAGAUCUUGCUCUUUGUUACUUCUACUUUUGCUUUUUCCCAUCUGCAAAGAGGGAAACAAUCUGCUUUUGAAUCUCUGGUGAAGCAUCACCUAGAAGCUGCUGCCAAAGCUUGAUAUCCAGAGUGCUCUAAAACAUAGUGUGAUGUGCCCUUUCAUCUUAAAGGAUUAUUUUUGGCUGGGCAGACCUCUCUAAGAUAGAUUAUAAGGAGCUGGCUUUUAAAGGCAAUGAAAACUGCUUCUGUAUUCACAUUUACCCCCUCCCUCCAUUAUCUGAGGUAUGUAAAUAAUGUUUUAAAGUGGUGAUGUGAGAAUAUUAAUUAUGUUUUCAUUUCUUGUUCCUGUUACCAUGUAAUAUAUCUUCAAGUGCUGAGAAAACAUCUUACAAAACCAUUAAAGAUUCCAAAUGUUCAUACAUAAAUGGGUGUUAAAAGCGGAUGCCUGAGUUACAUACAAUUAAUGAUACACAGACACGUAUCAUACAUACAUGGACAUGUACCACUGGAAAAAUCAAGUCUACAAAGAAUAAAAAUAUUUCUGUCAGUGAGUAAAAGGCUAAUAAUGUAAUGAUAUCCAAAGGAAAUGCAGGGACACAUAUGGAUGAGCUCGGAUUCCACAUAUUGGGUGACUAAGAAUGAAUUAGCAUAAAUUAUAAAUUUGUUCCAAUUAUAGAAGGUAAUUAUCGGAGACCAGCUUACAGCAUUAUCAAAAUUAAAACAGCAAAGUGCAUCUGUAUUCCAAGUAGAUGCCAUUGAGUUAAUCGUCCUGAAAAAAAAACCAAAAAGACUCUACACUUAUUCAUCUUCUAUUCCUUUGAUUACUAGACACUCUAUCCAAGUUUCCCCUCAGCUGACAGACACAAAGUCACCAUGAAGGAAGAAAAACAUUUUGAAA
rnacentral:lncRNA from 10 species